GAAAAUUUCACAAAUUUGCUGCCACAAGUGAAGGAGCUCCAUUUUGAUGGGACCUUCAAGGUCCGACUCAAUGUGCCUGCAUCAAAGCAGUUGUUGACUGUAAUAUCAAUACAUUUCAGUCAUGCUUUUCCAGUUUUCUUUGUAGUGAUUGAAAAGAAAAACGUUGAUGCAUAUCAAUCACUCCUGUCCUUCAUAAAAAACAGAACACCAGAAAUCUGUCCCGAGGUGAUAAUAUGUGAUUUUGAGAAGGCACUACAGCAGGCUUUACACAAGAAGCAUUUCCUCGGACCAAUAAUGCAGGCUGUUGGUUCCACUUAGCUAAUUCAAUGAGGAAGAAAGCAAGGAAUCUUGGAUUGACACGAGUCAUGAACACCGAUGUCCAUGCUGGAAAAUUGGUAAAAAAUGGCAAUGGCGUUGCUAUUAUUAUCCAAAUAAAAUAUUAAUCAAGGACUACAAGACAUAGCCACCUAUGCAAACGAAAAAGGUUUGUCGGCUACUGUCGCACCAUUUCUACAUCUACAAUACGU